rnacentral:rRNA from 1 species
AUGGCAGCGAAGGCAAGAUCAUUCAAUCAGAUAAACAUCAAUGCAACCAGUUCCUCCAAAUUCAGUCUCAAGCUCCAUCUUCCUCCAAGAAGCACUUCACUUCAUGCCAAGAAAUCCACGCCCAGCCUCGUACGGUGCACUCCGACGAGCACCAGCACCGUGUUCAAGGACAAGGAUCCCUUCAGCCUCGAGCGAUACACGUCCAAGGCAAUGACCGUGAAUGAAGCGCUCGACCUCGCUCUGCCGCUUGGGCACCCCGAGCGCCUCUUCGAGUCCAUGGGCUACUCUCUCUUCGCGGGUGGCAAGCGGGUGCGCCCCAUGCUUGCGCUCGCCGCGUGCGAGCUAGUGGGCGGUGAUGAGGCCGCUGCCCUGCCUGUGGCCUGCGCCGUCGAGAUGGUCCAUACCAUGUCGCUCAUCCACGACGACCUCCCUUGCAUGGACGAUGACCACCUCCGGCGCGGCCGCCCCACAAACCACGUUGCCUUUGGUGUCAGCACCGCGUUGCUCGCGGGGGAUGCGCUCCUGGCGUGUGCGUUCGAGCACGUCGCCCGGGGAUGCACGGAGCACGGCGUGCCGGCCGACCGCGCACUCCGCGCUGUGGCAGAGCUCGCCAGCGCCGUGGGCACGGACGGACUCAUGACGGGGCAGGUUGUGGACCUUGCCAGCGAGGGUGCAGACGUCGACCUGGCCACGCUAGAGUACAUCCAUGUGCACAAGACGGCACGACUCCUAGAGGCCGCGGCGGUGUGCGGCGCCAUCGUCUCCGGAGGAGCCGAUGAAGAGAUUGAGGGCAUCCGGCGGUACGCGCGUUACGUCGGCCUGCUAUUCCAGGUAGUGGACGACGUGCUGGACGUGACGCGCACGUCCGGGCAGCUAGGGAAGACGGCAGGGAAGGAUAUUGCGACCGACAAGGCAACGUACCCGAAGCUGAUGGGCGUGGACGGGGCGCUCACGUACGCGGCAGAGCUUGUGGCGAGCGCCGAGGCAGAGCUAGACCGCUUUGACGGUACUUGUAAAGAGCCUCUGCGUCACCUCGCGCACUUCAUUGUGUACCGGCAGCACUGA